rnacentral:tRNA from 1 species
GCAGUCAGAUCAGGGAUACUUCGACUCAUAAUCGGUUGGUCGCAGGUUCGAGUCCUGCCGGGUGCC